ACCGCGAUAGGUCAUCACUUCUGGAAUGGGUAAUGACUUAAACCUAUAUGGCCCCUGGAUUGGACUGCGGCCGAUCAGGCUGUUGGUGAGGUAAUGGCCCACCAAACCUGUAACCGGUACGGGCUCUGAGAGGAGGAGCCCGGAGAUGGGCACUGAGACAAGGGCCCAGGCCCUAUGGGGCGCAGCAGGCGCGAAACCUCUGCAAUAGGCGAAAGCUUGACAGGGUUACUCUGAGUGAUCUCCGUUAAGGAGAUCUUUUGGCACCUCUAAAAAUGGUGCAGAAUAAGGGGUGGGCAAGUCUGGUGUCAGCCGCCGCGGUAAUACCAGCACCCCGAGUGGUCGGGACGUUUAUUGGGCCUAAAGCAUCCGUAGCCGGUUCUACAAGUCUUCCGUUAAAUCCACCUGCUUAACAGAUGGGCUGCGGAAGAUACUAUAGAGCUAGGAGGCGGGAGAGGCAAGCGGUACUCGAUGGGUAGGGGUAAAAUCCGUUGAUCCAUUGAAGACCACCAGUGGCGAAGGCGGCUUGCCAGAACGCGCUCGACGGUGAGGGAUGAAAGCUGGGGGAGCAAACCGGAUUAGAUACCCGGGUAGUCCCAGCUGUAAACGAUGCAGACUCGGUGAUGAAUUGGCUUAUUGCUA
rnacentral:rRNA from 1 species